rnacentral:rRNA from 1 species
AACGAACGCUGGCGGCAUGCCUAACACAUGCAAGUCGAACGAGACCUUCGGGUCUAGUUGCGUACGGGUGCGUAACGCGUGGGAACCUGCCCUUAGGUUCGGAAUAACUCCCCGAAAGGGGUGCUAAUACCGGAUAAUGCCUUCGGACCAAAGAUUUAUCGCCUUUGGAUGGGCCUGCGUUGGAUUAGCCAGUUGGUAGGGUAAAAGCCUACCAAGGCGACGAUCCAUAGCUGGUCUGAGAGGAUGAUCAGCCACACUGGGACUGAGACACGGCCCAGACUCCUACGGGAGGGAGCAGUGGGGAAUAUUGGACGAUGGGCGAAAGCCUGAUACAGCAAUGCCGCGUGAGUGGUGAAGGCCUUAGGGUUGUAAAGCUCUUUUACCCGGGAUGAUAAUGACAGUACCGGGAGAAUAAGCACCGGCUAACUCCGCG